rnacentral:rRNA from 1 species
AUGUACAUUCCUACAACAUUAAGUGUAAUGCAUUGGAUCCCAUUAGAACUCCGCAUUUAAGCACGCUAAGGAUAGAGUAGUACUGGGAUGGGUGACCAUCCGGGAAGUCCUAGUGUUUUACAUG